CAGAUUUCUUAUGGGUUAGCUACGAUGGAAUGGACAGUGCUGAUGUGUACCUCAGUUACUUUGCAGGAAGAACUUGUGGCCUGUGUGGAUCCUUUGAUGGAGACCAGAACAAUGAUUGAUACUUCCUUCAGGAGAAUUGGCAAGAUCAGCAACUGAGUUUGGAAACAGCUGGGUUGCGUACCCUGACCAAUGUGAUGGUGUGGAUCCAGGUCCAACUGACCCUUGUGAGGAUGGAGUGAACAGCUUGUCUGCAUCCAACGAUCUGUGCUAUUAUUUGAAGGAUCCUUCCGGACCAUUUGAAUCCUGCUU
rnacentral:lncRNA from 1 species